CCGGGCUCGCGGCGGAUCCCGCGUUCGUCCUGGCUCCGCGGCGGCCUGGCCAAUGGCACCUCAGAGGAGGGGAGCUCCCAAGGCGCCAGAGGGCAACGGGGCAGCGGAGCGCCGGCGCCCGAGCAGCACCAAGAGUGUCCGGGCGCCUCGGGAUGUGUGGAAGAAGUGGCUGAGAGUUGCCGUCCUGGGGACCUGCACCACGCUCGUCGUGCUCCUGCUCUGGGGCAGUCUGGGGGGUGAUGACAGCAUCACUGAGGUCCUAGCUCAUCGAAGUGAGGUCCUGCCAGGCAGGUUCAUCGAGGUGCCCUGCUCCGAGGACUAUGACAGUCACCGAAGGUUUGAAGGCUGCUCCCCGAGGAAGUGUGGCCGGGGCGUCAGCGAUGCCAUCAUCACCAGGGACGAAGCCCGGAGGAUUCGCAGCAUAGCCGAGAAGGGGCUGUCCCUGGGAGGAUCGGACGGAGGGGCGUCUAUCCUGGACCUGCACUCGGGGGCCUUGUCUGUUGGGAAGCACUUUGUGAACCUGUACAGAUACUUUGGGGAUAAAAUACAAACUAUCUUCUCAGAAGAGGACUUCCAGUUGUACCGCGACCUGCGGCAGAAGGUCCAGCUGGCAAUCGCCCAGGCAUUUGGCAUCAGCGCGUCCUUGCUGCACCUGACGAAGCCCACCUUCUUCUCCCGCAUCAACAGCACGGCGGCCCGCACGGCUCAUGACGAGUACUGGCACGCGCACGUGGACAAGGUGACCUACGGCUCCUUCGACUACACGUCGCUGCUGUACCUCUCCAACUACCUGGAUGACUUCGGUGGCGGGCGGUUUGUGUUCAUGGAGGAGGGGGCCAACAAGACGGUGGAGCCGAGAGCAGGUCGGGUGUCCUUCUUCACCUCGGGGUCCGAGAACCUGCACCGAGUGGAGAAGGUUCACUGGGGCACCCGCUACGCCAUCACCAUCGCCUUCACCUGCGACCCCGACCAUGGCAUCGCGGACCCAACGUUCACGUAGCACCGGGAGGCCUGUCCAGCAGUCCUGCAGGAAGCAGCCAUGCUGGACACACACCCCUUCCCUCUCGCUCAGCCCAUUUCCACGGAACAAGCAUCGGUGCGCAGAGAGCCAGGAUUCUUGGCAUCACCUCGAUGUUCCUUCCAUCUCAGCACCUUUGAGGCCAGGCAGAUCCCAAUGGAGCUG